UGUCAGGUUGAGGGAUUCGAUAAAGGGGGCGACGUCUUGGUAAGUGGAUAUUGUGUAAGUUGAGCCUUUCAUGCCAACAAUGAGGGCGAAAGGGAAGCCCCACCUGUAUCGUAUGUUUCGAGCUCUUAGUUGGUCUGUAAUCGGCUUCAGCGCCCGUCUUGCCUGGAGGGUGUGCCAAGAUAGGUCUGGGUAAAUCUGGAUUUCGUGUCCCUGGUAUAAAAGGGGGGAGGAAGUGUGUCUUAGUGCCCGUAAGAUGUCUUCUUUUAGGGAAAAGUAGUGUAUGCGGCAUAUUACGUCGCGUGGAUUUUCACUUGAGCCAUUUUUGGGUCGCAGAGACCUAUGUGCCCUGUCCAGUAGCACUGGGGAGUCUGGAGGGCGAUUUAGUAUAAGGUUG